AUGCAAGACACCGGCUCAGUAGUGCCGUUGCAUUGGUUUGGCUUUGGCUGUGCAGCACUGGUUGCUUCUGGUGGGAUCGUUGGCUAUGUAAAAGCAGGCAGCGUGCUGUCCCUGGCUGCCGGGCUGCUCUUCGGCAGCCUAGCCGGCCUGGGUGCUUAGCAGCUGUCUCAGAAUCCAAGGAACGUUUGGGUUUUCCUAGCUACAUCUGGUACCUUGGCUGGCAUUAUGGGAAUGAGAUUCUACCUCUCUGGAAAAUUCAUGCCUGCAGAUUUAAUUGCAGGUGCCAGUUUGCUGAAGGCCGUCAAAGUUGGAGUUAGUAUGUUCAACAGACCCCAUUAGCAGAAGUCAUGUUCCAUCUUGCACUGAUGAAGAAUUAAAAAUCUGCAUCUUCCACUAUUUUCAAUGUAUUAACAGAAAUAAGUGCAGCAUUUUUGCAUCUGACAUUUUACCUAAAAAAAAAAAGACACCAAACUUGGCAGAGGGGUGGAAAAUCAGUCAUGAUUACAACUCUACAGAGGUGGUGAAUAUGUAACAGAAGAGCUUAAUAAGACCCUAAUAGAGAUUGAUUCUUGUAUAUUGAUGUUAUCUCUUCUUUCCAUAUCUAUAGGUAAAUCUCAAGGAUAAAAUAUUAGAUGUCAACUUUGAGGGCCCUGAAAUCCCAUUCUGUGCUCUGAGGAACAGUGUGAAAAAAUCUCUUAUGAGAUUUAGACUAUCUGUUCUUUUGCUCAUCUUAGACCACAGACUGACUUUGAAAUUAUGUUUAGUGAAAUAUCAAUGAAAAUAAAGGUUACUAUAAAUAAA